UAAAAAGGUACUCAAGGGCACAGAGCGGAUGCCUUGACGUAUAUCACCGAUGAAGGACGUGGAAGACUGCGAUAAGUCUCGGGUAGCUGUCAACAAGCUUUGAUCCGGGAAUUUCCGAAUGGGGAAACCUAGUGCGAGUUAUGUCGCAUUGUCUGCUUCUGAAUAUAUAGGAAGUAUGAACGGGAACCAACUGAACUGAAACAUCUUAGUAGGUUGAGGAAGAGAAAGUAAAUAACGAUACUCGGAGUAGUGGCGAGCGAAACGGGUAGAGCCCAAACCUUACAAGUUUUUGUCUGUUCGCAGGCAAUAACGGCUGAUAGGCCAAUGCUUAUAAGGGGUUGUGAUAUUACAUAUGACCAAGUCAGAGAAUUAAACCUCGGUUUAGGUAUCUGAUUUGCGAAGCCCGGCUAUCACCGAGGCUAUAAGGUAAAAAAUCGGCGUGGUUAGCAGAAUAACUUGAAUGGUUAACCAAAGGACGUGAAAGUCGUGUAUGUGAAAACGACGCUGACCUUAUGUGUGUUUUAUCGAGUAGGGCGGGGCACGAGAAACCCUGUCUGAAUCCGGCUGGACCACCAGCCAAGGCUAAAUAUGAUAUACGAUCGAUAGUGAACAAGUACCGCGAGGGAAAGGUGAAAAGAACCCCGGGAGGGGAGUGAAAUAGAUCCUGAAACUCUGUGCCUACAAGGAGUCGGAGCAGAUUUAUUCUGUGACGGCGUGCUUUUUGUAGAACGAUCCAGCGAGUUAAUUUCUAGAGCAAGGUUAAGUCAAGUGACGGAGCCAUAGUGAAAGCGAGCCUGAAUAGGGCGAAUUAGUUCUAGGGAUUAGACCCGAAACCAGGUGACCUAACCAUGGGCAGGUUGAAGCGACAGUAACAUGUCGUGAAGGACCGAACCAGUGUCGUGUAACAGGCUUGGAUGACCUGUGGUUAGCGGUGAAAUGCCAUUCGAACUUGGAGAUAGCUGGUUCUCCUCGAAAUAGCUUUAGGGCUAGCGUCGCGUAGUAGCAUACGGGGGUAGAGCUCUGUAAAGGACUGGGGGGAGCAAUCCUACCCACCCUUAACAAACUACGAAUACCGUAUGUGUAAUCGCGGCAGUUAGAACGUCGGGGCUAAGCUCGGCGCUCGAAAGGGAAACAGCCCAGACCAUCGUCUAAGGUCCCUAAAUUAACACUAAGUGGGAAACAAGGUGAGAUUUCUUAAACAGCUAGGAUGUUGGCUUAGAAGCAGCCAUUCAUUUAAAGAGUGCGUAACAGCUCACUAGUCAAGAGAUCUUGCGUGGAAAAUGUAACGGGGCUAAGUGUUAUACCGAAGACAUGGAUGCCACCAGUACAGUAAACAUCUAACGUAGAAAAGCUACAUUUUCUCCGCCACCCGGAAGGGCUGUCGGUCAAAAUAGCUCCGCCAAGGCGGAUAACCUACGAUCAUGAGGUGUUUAGUGUACUGGUGGCGUGGUAGAGGAGCGUUCCUAUCUGCGGUGAAGCAGUUUUGGAAAGAAUUGUGGAGCGUUAGGAAGUGAGAAUGCUGGAAUGAGUAACCACAAGAGGGGUGAGAAUCCCCUCGGCCGUAAGAGCAAGGUUUCCUGAGCUAUGGUAAUCAUCUCAGGGUUAGUCGGGCCUAAGCCGAGGCGCAUAGCGUAGGCGAUGGACAUCAGGUUAAUAUUCCUGAACCGGCGUGUUUUGUACACUGUUCACGGCGAGAUAUUCGGAGCGGAUUCAUGGUUUAUCCGUCCAACCUAGGGGGAACCCGAUGGGAGUGAAAGUUACCUUUUUAAGGUGACGAUUCUGGAAAAGGCGCUGGCUAGAAAAGCAGGUGUACGCGUGGACACGUCGACCGUACCGCAAACCAACACAGGUGCUCGAGUCGAGUAGACUCAGGCUUACGAGAGAACCUUCGCUAAGGAACUCGGCAAUACAGCGACCGUAACUUCGGGAUAAGGUCUGCCCCCACUUCGGUGGAUAUGAGCCGCGUUCAUAAACUCAGCGAUUAGGUGGUUAGAAGAACGCAUUUAUCAGAGGUAAAAGCGCUGAUAAAUGUAGUGAGUACGCAUCGUUUCUGCGUAAAGUAGAAUCGGUGUGAUCAAAUCCUUUUUAAAACCAUAGAAUUUUUCUGAGAUAAGUAACAUGAAUAAUGUUCUUUUGAACGCGAACCGUUCACAUCUAACGAUGUGGGGGCCGCAGCAAAAGAGCCCACGGAACUGUUUAUCAAAAACACAGGUCUCUGCUAACACGAAAGUGGAUGUAUAGGGGCUGACUCCUGCCCAAUGCUGGAAGGUUAAGGGGAGCGCUUCACGGUGCGAACUGAAGCCCUAGUCAAUGGCGGCGGUAACUAUAACCGUCCUAAGGUAGCGAAAUUCCUUGUCAGGUAAGUUCUGACCCGCACGAAUGGAGUAAUCAUGUGGGCACUGUCUCAGCGAAGGACUCGGUGAAAGUGCAUUGGCGGUAAAGAUGCCGUCUGUCCGUACCAGGACGAGAAGACCCCAUGGAGCUUUACUACAGUUUUACAUUGAUCCGGGUUUUGGCCCGUGUAGCAUAGUUGGGAGACGUUGAAGCAGAUACGCUAGUAUUUGUGGAGUCGCCGGUGAAAUACCAACCUUGCCAAGAUCUUGAUCUCACCCUGACCGUUAUCCGGUUAGGGGACCGUGUAUGAUGGGUAGUUUAACUGGGGCGGUUGCCUCCUAAAGAGUAGCGGAGGCGUUCAAAGGUUGGCUAGCUUCGGAUGGAAAUCGAAGUGAUAGUGUAUGCGCAUAAGCCAGCUUGACUGUGAGGAGUACAUUCCAAGCAGAGACGAAAGUCGGAGCAAGUGAUCCGCUGUACGUACAUUUGUACAUGAAUGUGGGAUCGACAGCGCAAACGGAUAAAAGUUACCCUGGGGAUAACAGGCUUAUAGCGCCCAAUAGUUCACAUAGACGGCGCUGUUUGGCACCUCGAUGUCGGCUCAUCACAUCCUGGAGGGGGAGCACCUUCCAAGGGUUCGGCUGUUCGCCGAUUAAAGUGGUACGCGAGCUGGGUUCAGAACGUCGUGAGACAGUUCGGUUUAUAUCCGGUAUGGACGAUAGGAAAUUUGAGAGGAUCUGCCCCUAGUACGAGAGGACCGGGGUGGACGAACCUCUGGUGUAUCGAUUGUGGCCACCUGCUGCAUUGUCGAGUAGCUAAGUUCGGACUAGAUAAGUGCUGAAAGCAUAUUAAGCACGAAACUAACCUCAAGAUUAGAUUUCCCUAUGAGGACACUGAAAGAUUAUCAGUUUGAUAGGUGCAAGGUGGAAGUGCAGUAAUGCAUGGAGCUGAAGCAUACUAAUAGUCCCAUUGCCUUUUUAUG
rfam:Candidatus Saccharibacteria bacterium RAAC3_TM7_1, complete genome.